GCGAGGCCACCGUACCGUAAACCGACACAGGUGGAUAGGGCGAGAAGCCCAAGGGGAACGAGUGAUUUGCCUCUAAGGAACUCGGCAAAAAAGCGGCCGUAAGUUAGCGAUAAGGCCUGCUCUUUUUCAAGCGCCGCAAGGCGUGCGGGAAAGAGCCGCAGCGAAAGUCUCUCUGGCGACUGUUUACCAAAAACACAGCUCCCUGCUAACUCGCAAGAGGAUGUAUAGGGGGUGACGCCUGACCGAUGCGAGAAGGUUAAGACUGAGUGUGGUUUGGAGUAAUCUGAAUUGCUCAUUGGUUGAAGCCCUCGUCAAUGUCGGCGAUAACUAUAAUCGUCCAAAGGUUCUCGGCUGAACCAUUUUAGGUUGAACCGAGAAGGAUUCGGACGAUUAUAGGCGCAAAAAGCUACCUUGCUUUGUGGCAACACAAAGAAAUCCUAGAAAUCACAACGUGGCUCCAAGAGGCCAUACACCACGCUCCGAAUAAAAUCGGAUGAAGACAUGGUCCUUCUUUGAGGAAUAGAAGAGCGCAAUUCCUUUUCGGGUAAGUUCCGAAGCGCACGAAAGGCGUAACGACCGGAGAACUGUCUCAGCGGCAUGCUCGGUGAAAAUGCGAUUCCCGUGAAGACGCGGGAUACCUGUAGCGGGACGAAAAGACCCCGGAAGCUUUACUGCAGCCUGGUAUUGAUUUUAUGGUUUUACUACGUAGCGUAGUGGUGAGGAUUUGAAGUGCUACUUUCGGGUGGCAUGGAUCCGACAAUGAAA
rnacentral:rRNA from 1 species